rnacentral:lncRNA from 1 species
AAAAAACAUUUGGUGGUGAACUACGAUGCGUCGUAGUGGUAAGCAGUUCUUGUUCCAUUAUUGGCAUGAACUGAAUCAAAUCAAAAGAUAUAAUGUAAUGAUACCCUGGCAAAUAAUCCCCUGAAUGUCAAGGAAUUUUUGUUUGAAUUUGGUAUAUAGUUAUACAAUAUUACAUAUAGAUCACCUUAUCAAAUUGCGGGGUCGGAAAGCGACGAGUACAACCUAGCUGGUAACUUAGUGCAUUGUAUAUAAUAGUUAUUAAAGGUACCAGGAUUAUAAUUUAGUACGCCAGACGCGCGUUUCGUCUACAUAAGACUCAUCAGUGACGCUCAUAUCAAAAUAUUUAAAUACAAUCAUAUUAAAAAUUCGAAGCUUCAUGUACUCUUUAGCUGCGAUAAACAGACUUGAAUGGCACUUCGGACAAAUAUGACGUUUGAAUGGUUUUACAUGAGUCAUUGUUGGGGCCACUUAUUAGACAAUGAAACACAACUAUCAGCCGUCCGAUUCUAGAUUCCAUUUACUAUAUUUCAUUUAGACACACGGUCAAACAUAAAUACACACAUAGCAUAUGUUACCAUAUCAAUUCUUAGAUGAUAGUACAAUGGUAUUAAGGAGAUAAUAUAUAACAACGUUUUUCAAGAAUUUUAAGAAUUUGCAGAUUGUUUAAGGAGUAGGGGUAAUGAGUGAAACGUAUUGAAGAAGACAUUGAAUUUGUAAUGCAUAUGUACAUGUAUCUGCUUCUUCUCCCGG